rnacentral:rRNA from 1 species
UGGGGAAUUUUGGACAAUGGGGGCAACCCUGAUCCAGCGACGCCGCGUGAAGGAUGAAGGUCUUCGGAUUGUAAACUUCUUUUGGAGGGGACGAAUGGGUUGUUGAAUAAACAACAGUGACGGUACCCUUUGAAUAAGCCACGACUAACUACGUGCCAGCAGCCGCGGUAAUACGUAGGUGGCAAGCGUUACUCGGAAUCACUAGGCGUAAAGCGCAGGUAGGUGGCUUGAUAAGUCUAUUGUGAAAGCUCCCGGCUUAACUGGGAGAGGUCAAUGGAUACUGUUAGGCUUGAGUGUGGUAGGGGAAGCUGGAAUUCCUGGUGUAGCGGUGAAAUGCGUAGAUAUCAGGAGGAACACCUAAGGCGAAAGCAGGCUUCUGGGCCAACACUGACACUGAGCUGCGAAAGCUAGGGGAGCAAACAG